rnacentral:rRNA from 1 species
GAUGAACGCUAGCGGCAGGCCUAAUACAUGCAAGUCGAGGGGUAGAAGAGGCUUGCUUCUCUGAGACCGGCGCACGGGUGCGUAACGCGUAUGCAACCUACCUUCAUCUGGGGGAUAGCCCGGAGAAAUCCGGAUUAAUACCGCAUAAAAUCACAGGAUGGCAUUAUCCAAUGAUCAAACAUUUAUGGGAUGGAGAUGGGCAUGCGUGUCAUUAGCUAGUUGGCGGGGUAACGGCCCACCAAGGCGACGAUGACUAGGGGAUCUGAGAGGAUGGCCCCCCACACUGGUACUGAGACACGGACCAGACUCCUACGGGAGGCAGCAGUAAGGAAUAUUGGUCAAUGGAGGCAACUCUGAACCAGCCAUGCCGCGUGCAGGAAGACUGCCCUAUGGGUUGUAAACUGCUUUUAUUCAGGAGUAAACCUUAUUACGUGUAAUAAGCUGAAUGUACCGAAGGAAUAAGGAUCGGCUAACUCCGUGCCAGCAGCCGCCGUAA